AAGAGUAUUUCCAGGGAUCAUUUCUAUAGUUGAUUACCAGACUAGAGAAGUUUCUCUGAAUGUGCAGAGGACCAGAAAAUACAAGGAGGAGAUGAAACAUUCUCUCCCCAGCAUGAAGCCAGCUCUUGGUGCUGCUUUACUAAAAUCGCCAUUUGCCAUUGUUGACUGCGAGUGGUUCCCACUAAUAAAAAAAAGCUUCCCUAGAGCU